ensembl:lncRNA
AUGCGCUCACUCGCGGGAGGCGGCGGGACGGAACACAGAGAUGCUCAUGUCUCAUCUAAGGAGUCUGGGUUUCAGAAUCAACUAUGCCAAAAGCCAGCUGAUUCUGUCUCAGGAGUAUCUAGGCUUACGGAUAGACUCUGUGGCAUACCGCACUAUGCUCUAGAAAAGGAGGAUAAUGGUUUUUUAUCAGUGCCUGGCCCAGUUUUGCAAGGGGAAUUUGGUAUUGUUCAGGACCUGUCGUCGCCUUUUGGGCAUGAUGGCUUUGUCGCUGUCCGUGGUCCUGCUAGGUUUGCUGAAAAUGAGAGACUUCCAGCGAUGGGUAGCAGCGAGAUGUCUCUGUCCUCGUCGGCACCUCACGCGCAGAGUAAGAAUACACGCAGACUGCAUGAUGGCUCUAUAUCAGUGGAGAGAUCCCUGUUCAUUCCAGUCAAGGAUUCCCUUGGGGGGCAUGUCUCUGAGAAAAGUGGUGACAACGGAUGCAUCUCUGUCUGGCUGGGGGGCUGUUUUUCAGGGCAGAUCGUUAAAUGGUCGCUGGAUGCCCCAGCUUUGCAAACCAUAAAUAUGUUGGAGUUGAGUGGCAGUCUUUCUGGCCCUGAAACAUUUUCUCUGAUUCUUGGAAGGGUUUCAUGUUCUGGUCAGGACAGACAACACAACAGUGGUGGCAUAUAUCAAUCGCCAAGGGGGAACACGUUCGUUACAAUUGCACAAUCUAACGCGCAAAGUGAUUGUCUGGGGCGCGGUGCACUUCAGCUCACUGCGCGUGACGCAUGUACCAGGAGUCCUGAAUGUAGGGGCGGAUCUCCUGUCAAGGGGCAACCCUUUAUAAGGAGAACGGGUGCUCCACCCGCAGGUGGUGGAUCAGAUUUGGGGGAUUUAUGGCAGGGCUGUAGAUCUCUUUGCCUCGCAGGCAAAUGCAAAGUGACCGCUGUAUUUCUAUCUCAGGGACGAAAAUGCGCCUUUGGGUGUGGAUGCGCUGGCGCACCCGUGGCUGAAUGUGUUGCUUUACACAUUCCCUCCGCUGAGUCUUAUUUCUCCCACCCUAGAAAGAGUAAGAGAAAACGGAUUAUCUCUCCUUCUGAUAGCCCCUCGUUGGCUGGGGAGGCUGUGGGUUGCAGAGAUUGUCCAGCUCCUUCAGUGAGAGCCCUGGCCGCUCCCGUUGCGCCAGGACAUGCUGUCGCAAGCGGGGAGGCAGAUUUUUCAUCCACACCCGGAACGAACCAGUGA